GGGUGUGAUCAUACCAACACUAAUGCACCAGAUCCCAUAUGAACGUCGAAAAUAAACGUGCUUGGGCGAGAAUAGUACUAAGAUGGGCUUUGUCUCAGAACUUUCACAGACACAGGCA
rnacentral:rRNA from 1 species